UACAGAGGGUGCGAGCGUUAAUCGGAAUUACUGGGCGUAAAGCGCGCGUCGGCGGCUUUGCAAGCCGGAUGUGAAAUCCCCGGGCUUAACCUGGGAACUGCAUUCGGGACUGCAUGGCUAGAGUAUGGGAGAGGGAAGUGGAAUUUCAGGUGUAGCGGUGAAAUGCGUAGAUAUCAAGAGGAACACCUGCGGCGAAGGCGGGUUGCUGGGCCGACACUGACGCUGAGGCGCGAAAGCCAGGGGAGCGAACGGG
rnacentral:rRNA from 1 species